GACGAACGCUGGCGGCGUGCUUAACACAUGCAAGUCGAACGGAAAGGCUUGGUGCUUGCGCGGUGCGCGUGUGGCGAACAGGUGUGUAACAUGCGAGUGACCCCUGCUCUACAUUCGGAUAUCUUCAGGGAACAGGGGCUCAUAUCGGAUAUGAGCUCCUGCUGCACGGUGGGGUUUGGAAAGUUUCGGUGGUUGGGGAUGGACGCGCGGCUUAUCAGCUUGUUGGUGGGGUAGUGGCUUACCAAGGCUAUGACGGGUAGCCGGCCUGAGAGGGUGACCGGCCACACUGGGACUGAGAUACGGCCCAGACUCCUACGGGAGGCAGCAGUGGGGAAUAUUGCACAAUGGGCGGAAGCCUGAUGCAGCGACGCCGCGUGCGGGAUGACGGCCUUCGGGUUGUAAACCGCUUUCAGCAGGGAAGAAGCGAGAGUGACGGUACGGGGAGAAGAAGCGCCGGCUAGCUACGUG
rnacentral:rRNA from 1 species